CUGUUAUAAGGUGUGUUUUACAAAUUGAACGCUAGUCACAGAGCGCUGUGAUCGCACAACAAUAAACCACGUAUAUGUAGAUGUACACAUCUGAUAUACACAACUUAUACUUAACGAUUGAAGCACUUUACAGUUUAGCAGAUAAAUUAAGAAAUUUUUGUCGGAUCUGUGUAUAGGAUUGUGAUGUAACGGCAUCGCAAAAUCUUGCCGUAUUUGUCUCCGAGGACUAGUUCCGGGAACAAUGUGACGAUCACGCAUCAAUUUGCUUGUGCAACCGUUUCAACUAACUGGCUAUACGCCGUGGGGAGAAUCGGCAACUAAUCCGCCAUUGUGUGUCGAGCAUGAUGCGAUUAUCGCGUUAUACAGUUGCGCUAUGGGGGAAUACCGAACUGUUAAAGUGUUGUUGGGCCUCGGGUAGAACCGGAGCUACUACGUGGCUGAAAAAGCCGAAUUUCCAUCGCUGUAAUGUUUGGACGAUAAACAAGGUCGAAUCUUUCUAAAGACAUCAAUUUUGACGCUACACGGAGUGUGAAAGAAUACAACGUGCAAGAUGAUUAGACUUUUGGAACGUGUGAUGGCUGAACAUUGAAGAACGUACGAAGAAAAAAUCUGGAGGCCAGACGGGUUGUUUGUGCGAUUAACGGUAAACCUGAUUCACAGUGAGAAGUCGCCAAGAUGCUUGGGUAAAAGAACCUACAAGGAAAAUUCUUGAUGAAGAAUAUUUAAAUAGAAUGCAUAAAAUAUUACGGCAAAACUGCUGAUUCUAAAGGCUACAUUUAUAAAUGAAUUCUUCUAAAUAUUCUAUUAUUAUAUUUGUGGCGUUCGUGUUACUGUAAACAUUUUUUUAAAAAUCAAACAUUGACGAAGGUUUCUUUUAAAUUUAAUAUUCUUGCUACACCAAGGUAAAAGGAAAUCGUUAUAAAUUCAUUCAUUUACAAUUCAAAACAGACGGAGAUCUUGAAAAAAAUUCUGGUUUAAACAAGUGAUCUGCAACCAGUCCGAAUUCGAGCUGUAAACGACGUUCGUAUUUUUCAGGGUCAACAAACUGCUACUUCUUUCAGAAUUUAAGCCGCGUUCGCACGAUAGAUUCGACUUCGUGGCACGAUUAUUCACGACAGACAUCUUCACUCGGGAGGGCGAAGAACGCAGGAGAAAUUUUAUUGGCUCUGUAUGGCGGUUACAAGUGUAUUAUGCCUUCGGCACACAUUGCAUUGAAUUCCAAAUGCUAUUUACCGAACUGUACAUCUUUAUUGCAUGACAGUUCCCUCGUAAACUUGUCCUGCGAGCCGAAGUUAUUGCGCCGGAUAUCCGAUACGUCGCACUGGCGUUACGUCACCGGAGAACGUCCACGAUUUUUCGUCAAACGAAACGCAAAUUCCUUAUUCAUGGCGCAUUAUCAAAUUUCACGACGUAAUUAGGUUUUCGUUCGAACCAUUCCAUCGUUCUUUUUUACGGGAAUAAAUUGCUUCAGAGAUAAAUUGAAUUAUAGCCCUAAAAGAGUAAUAAAUUGUUCUCGAGACAAAUUGAAUUCUACUCAACAAAGGGUUCGAUAGAAAUUAGAUCGGUCGGUAACUAAGUGAUCAAAUUAAUUUCUUCGUCGUUGAAAACAUCGGAGUGACUCACGAUGGUUUUUUAACAAAUUAACGCACGCGUCGAAAUAAUAGGGCAGUGAGAGUUUUCGAACAAAGUGCAAGUUAGAAAUGCGUACUUUGUAUAGCAGGGAAAAUUUUCAGACUAAUGUUCGUGUGACCACGAGCUUUCAGGGAGGAUUUAAAAAGAGUUUUAUACGACAUUUUAAUGAGUACAUUAUUUAGAGAGUGUCGUUUGUGGUUGUUAUAUAGUUAUUUUGUUUGUUAGUAUUAUCUAGGUUUCUGGAGAAUUAAAGGAUCCUCGCGGGGGACGUGUAUCGCGUCGGCAUAAAGAAGCGGAUUUCCGGGGAACUGGGCCAGUCGUAAUAUUUUCUCGACACGCGAUUCGCUGAACUUAAACUGCUCUGGUCGAUCUAAACGCCAGGUCUCUUAAUACGUACUGGCUGACCAUCGCGAUGCCUUAAUUAUCAGUGUGAUAUAAUGACCGAUGAUAUCUGUAUAUCGUAAAGUUCACUGCUUCCUUUUGUAAGUUGUGACUGGCGCACUAUGUAACAUAAUUGCUCAAAAUACCUUUCCGUGAAUGCGUUCUGGAAAUGAAUUUCAACAAAUAUGAUGUUCGAUAUUGUAGAUCUAUUACAUAGAAACGGUACACAAAUGUUAUCUUUUGCUGAAAUCUCUUACGUAAUUAUUUACCGAUUAAUAAUAUUAGUAAAUAAACAAAUUAGCUUAUAGAUUUCAAAAAGGAAAUUUCAAUAAAAGGGAAUAAACAUAGGGACAAAUAAUGUUUUAAUUAAAAGUAGAAUUUAAGGGGAUAAUUUCAAAUUACAAUUAUCAGAAGGAAAAUAAAUCGUUGGUGAAGUAAUUCGCUCGAAGACGAACGAUCUCUGGUUCUCGUGAACAGGAGGUUGGGUCUGGUUUUCACGGUGGCAGCGCACACGAACCACGCGAAACCAGAAGCACCUGUGUGGCAGCGUGUGCACGCGUGCACCGAGUUGAGAUAGUUUCCAACAGGCGACACGGCCGAGUAAUUAAUGCGGGAAUUAACCCCGGGGGUUAAUGAUAAGCAUUAACGACUAAUCACCCAGAGCGUGGUCGAGUCCCCAGACCGAUACCAUUCCAAGGGACUCGUCGGGUUCAUUAGUGUUUGGUCGGCUUUACUGGGAGGCCCGACAGAGCUGUCCUCUAUUUGUCUUACCUACCCGAUGUGUCCCAGUGACUUUAUCUCCUUAGCACCGGGGAAAAGCCUGAUUCGUUCAGCUGACUACCUGCCGCAACAACUGCCACGAAUAUACGUGUAUAAUGGUUAAUCUUCCAUAUUUAGAGUUCUGUUUUUAGAACAAGCUUCCUUUUUUAAGUAAUUCUUUUGUGCAAGUUCUGGGUCAUCUUGCACAAUUA